ACACUCGUGGAGGGAGGAUGUUGUCGACGCGUCAGGUCACCGAGCCGCAGGGCGUCAUCGCAGGUCAGCGUCAGGAGGGACCCUGCUGGUGUUAGGACGCUCGGACUGUGAGCGGCAGCAGAUUUAAUUGGCUCCACAGCAGCCGAGCGUGACCGGAUGAAGGAGAACAUCUGAUUUCACACAUUCAGAUUUGUUGCCUGAACAAAACAUCGACAGCUGAGACCGACUCGUCGUCGGUGGGAGCUCGAUAACGAUUGUGACUGAAGACUAAAUGUGUUUGAAUCUGGAAUAUCUGGC